UUGAGCGUAGUGUGAUGAAAGUCGCACGCUGCGUUCUGAGGGGGGGAAGAGCUGAGAAGUUUUACCUAUCCCAC
rnacentral:ncRNA from 1 species